rnacentral:rRNA from 1 species
CGGGGUCGGAACUUCGGUUUCGGCUUACGUGGCGCACGGGUGAGUAACACGUGGGAAUCUGCCCAUCUAUGGGGAAUAACUGCGGGAAACUGCAGCUAAUACCGCAUACGCCCUUCGGGGGAAAGGCUUCGGCCGUAGAUGGAUGAGCCCGCGUCCGAUUAGCUAGUUGGUGGGGUAAUGGCCUACCAAGGCGACGAUCGGUAGCUGGUCUGAGAGGAUGAUCAGCCACACUGGGACUGAGACACGGCCCAGACUCCUACGGGAGGCAGCAGUGGGGAAUAUUGGACAAUGGGCGAAAGCCUGAUCCAGCAAUGCCGCGUGAGUGAUGAAGGUCUUCGGAUUGUAAAGCUCUUUCGACGGGGAAGAUAAUGACGGUACCCGUAGAAGAAGCCCCGGCUAACUUCGUGCCAGCAGCCGCGGUAAUACGAAGGGGGCUAGCGUUGUUCGGAUUUACUGGGCGUAAAGCGUGCGUAGGCGGCUUAUCAAGUCAGAAGUGAAAGCCCGGGGCUCAACUCCGGAAUGGCUUUUGAGACUGGUAGGCUGGAGUUCGGGAGAGGGUAGUGGAAUUCCCAGUGUAGAGGUGAAAUUCGUAGAUAUUGGGAAGAACACCGGUGGC